rnacentral:misc_RNA from 1 species
AGUACCUCGGACCCGUGUCUUUUUUCUAAGGACGCGCGGUUUCGGAUUUGGACGCUUGCCGCGAAUCUCGCGGCUCGUCUCUAAACGCAUUAGCGAAACGCGCCAUCGGUCUAGCUCUCAGACGUGAUAAAACAAGCGUCGACGGAGCGCGACCGUGCGUCGCUCACGAACCGUCCGCGAGGACAAUCCACACCCAA